rnacentral:misc_RNA from 1 species
GAAAUGCGAUAAGUAAUGUGAAUUGCAGAAUUCAGUGAAUCAUCGAAUCUUUGAACGCACCUUGCGCUCCUUGGUAUUCCUUGGAGCAUGCCUGUUUGAGUAUCAUGAAAUCUUCAAAGUAAAUCUUUUGUUAACUCAUUUGGUUUCUACUUUGGUAUUGGAGGUCUUUGCAGCUUCACACCUGCUCCUCUUUGUUCAUUAGCUGGAUCUCAGUGUUAUGCUUGGUUCCACUCGGCGUGAUAAGUUAUCUAUCGCUGUGGACACUGUAAAAGGUGGCCAAGGUAAAUGCAGAUGAACCGCUUCUAAUAGUCCAUUGACUUGGACAAUACUUUUAUGAUCUGAUCUCAAAUCAGGUAGGACUACCCGCUGAACUUAAGC